GUUCCAGAGUGUGGAGUCUUCUCCAUAGCUGGAAGCCUUGGAAGCCGCAUUCCAGGAUUCAGUUCGAGUGUAGGAACCUCGGAAGCCACUUUCUAGGAUUCGGUUCCACAGUGCGGAGGAGACUUCUCCAUAAGUGGGAGCCUGGGAAGCCGCAUUCCAGGGAGGGACAGGCCCGGGACAGCUCACACCUGCCCUCCAGGCCCUGGGCUGUAGGGCUACCUCGCCUGGCCAUGUGCUGGAGGUGCUUUGCAGUGACCCAUCAGGGACAUGGAAGCAGGUCCACCUGAUAGAUGCACGGCCUCCUGCUUGAAGAGCCAACCACACUCCAUGCGGGACAGCACAGCAGCCCUUGGUAGGCAGGAGCCACAGACAGAGGGGUCUGGCCCUGGGAUGCCCACCGUGCCUUUGGGGAGGAGUUGGGAGGACAAGGCAGUGCAGUCCUUCCAGCCCCAGCUACCGCACAGAGAAGACACAGGCUGUGGCGUCACUGGCCACAGAGACGGCCACAGUGGAGGGAGGGCUGAGCCUGGGCCCCACCACCCCGUGCCCACCCCACGUGCCUUGGCUUCCCCAGGACUGAUGGCCUCCCAGUCAGGGACUUCUGGGUCUGCUUCUAAAAAACCCACCGAGGCCCAGGAGAGGCAAGCGUGCCCAGAGCACCCAAAAUGGGGCUUGCCCUCCACAAACCGGACAAGGAUCUCUACACCAGGGAAAGCAGGUGCUGCCAUAGGCAUGGAGCCACAAGCAGACCUCACAUGGGAGGGGACGGGCAUUGCAGGACAGGACGGGGCCAAGGAGAAGGGGGCCAGGGCCGCACCCCCAAUCAUGGGCUCCCAGGGACACCCCUGCCGGGAACCUACAGGGUCCCCAUUUGUCUGUCCCUGGAGCUGUUCAGGAAGCCGUGUGUGUCCAGAGCUCUUCAUCUGCGUGCAGCUGGGGCUGCUGGGGCUGCCAGCAGUGGGUCCCCCCUGGCCUGAGGGCCUGGACAGGGCAGGAGCGGCUCCCUGGCCCCCACUGUCCUUUGCGUCCUCCCUCACCAGCGUCACCCUGGGCAUGUGCCACCAGACCUCGUCCUCCCCCAUCCCUGCAGGAGGCCCAGUGUGGGUUUAGGGCACUGGAAAGGAGCCGAGAGUUUGCCAAUCAGAAACAGGUGGUGUAGGGGCCUUUCUCCCAUCCCCAAGUCUAGAAUCAGUUAACUAAUACAGCAGGAGAAGGCACCCGCCCGGCUUCCAUCAGGGAAGGAGACACCACAGAGGAGCAGGCCCCACCUGGAUAAUGUCCGCCAGCUUCUGCAGUCCGGCCGUGUUGGUGAACACUCCAGCACCUGGAGGGCAGUAGGGAGCUGACACCCACACUGCAGGCAGGGGAGGCCCCGACCCCAGCCCUGGUCCCUCCAGCAUGAGCCAGCUCAGCCCGACUGCCAAGCUCCAUCUCCUGCCCAAUGGGGGGCCCAGGGUGGAGCGCAGCAUCCAUUCAGGGCGGGCAGUUCGCCUGCUCUUCCCAGCAGCCAGGAGAGAAGCCAGGCAGGGACAGAGUCUCCAAGGGGGUCAGUGGGACUUGAAAAGAGGCUCUAUGGUCGCCUAAGGGUUGAAGCAGCAAAAGCCACCCUCCCCAGCACCCAGGAGCACAGCAGAGACACCCCGCUGGGCCCGGCGCCUCAAACCAGACAGCACCCGGGGGUGCAGCAGAGGAGAGACCCCGCUGGGCCCGGCACCUCAAACCAGAGCAGCCCAUGGGGACACCGCCUCUGGGCAAAGCCUCUGGACCCCACAACUCUGAGAAGCAGAACUCGGGGUGGUGUGGAGAAGCCAGAGGCCCCACAACCCAGCUAGGGCCUUGGGCUGCUCUUUCUCAAAAGCAGAAUAAUGGGAUGAGGCUGUAGGACGAAGCCGCCAGCUGCAGAACUGGGACAGGCUCUACGGCAGCUGGCAAGUGGCACUAACGCCUCCACGCCCCGAUCAGAAGAUGAGGUUCUGUGGGCCUGUUCCUGCUGACAGCCAGGUGACGGCCAGGGGAGUCCUGACUGCCAAGAUGGAGACCUGCUGCACCCCCUACGCCACAUUUGCCCGCACCAAAGACCCCGCGCCAGCACUCACGUCCUGCCAGGUGCUGGAUGAUCUGGUCCAGCGAGUCCAGGAUGCAGCCCUUGGUCUGAAACGUGAUCUGGGCUUCAGCAAACAGCUCAAAGAUGUAGCUGGCGAGGAGAAGAAGGCAGGCUUGAGCCUGGCGGGGGGACCAGGCUGCAGCUUUGGGAACUGAGGAGAAGAAGGCAGGCUCGGGCCUGAGGGGGGACGACAUUGGUCAAAGACGUAGCUGCCGAGGAGAAGAAAACAGGCUCGAGCCUGGAGGGGGAAAUCAGGCUGCAGCUUUGGAACUGAAGGCAACAACUGUGGAAGUUUCCUUCCCUCGGAAACAAACUCAGCCCUCCAGGGGACGCCAGCAUUGGAGGUGAGAGGCCUCCGCCCUCAGGAGCCUCCAGGUAGGGAGAGGAGGCCUGGCCAGCACGAGAACAGCACCAAGGAAAAGCAGCCGCCUCAGAGCACGGGCCGC
rnacentral:lncRNA from 1 species